ensembl:misc_RNA 7SK 7SK RNA
GCAUGAGGGCGAUCUGGCUGCGACAUCUGUCACCCCAUUGAUCGCUAGGGUUGAUUUGGCUAAUCUGGCUGGCGAGGCGGGUGUCCCCUUUCUCCCUCACCUCUCCAAGUGUGUCCCCCGCAAAGCUGAGUGCUUGGUCAAAGAGGAUGGCCUUCCCCAAAUAGAGACGGACUGGUCUUCCAUCAAGGGUAGCUGCACACCCCUGCUAGAACCUCCAAACAAGCUCUCAAGAAAACAGUUGAGGGAGUGGGGUGGGUAGUGCAGCGGGUUAAGCGCACAUGGCGCGAGGUGCAAGGGCCUGUGU